rnacentral:rRNA from 2 species
CCCGAUGAACCUGAAUAUCCAUUAUGGAAAAUUCAUCAUUAAUAUUACUAUAUUUAAAAAUAUAAUAAAAAUAGUGUGCAAUUUUUCCAUAUAAGGACAUUGUAAUCUGUUAAUGUAUUAAAUAUUUAUCAAAAAAUCUAAAACAUAAGUUUGUACAAAUUAGUUAUUUUCGAAUUUCUAACAUAGCACAAUAGUAUUAGAUUUGAUAAAUCAUUGACAGAUUGUAUUAUAUAUAAUGCUUAAAUUCAAUAUGAAUUUUAUAAUAAUAAUAAAAAUUAAUUUUUAUUUAUAAUUAUAUGCGUUUAUAUGAUUAACAAUGCGAUAGAUUCAGGAUACCUUCGGGACCCGUCUUGAAACACGGACCAAGGAGUCUAACAUAUGUGCAAGUCAUUGGGUAUUUUUAAUAAAACCCAAUGGCAUAAUUAACUUAACUGUUUUUUAAUGGGAUUAGUUUGCAUUUUAUUAUGAAAUAUAAAUUCAAUCCCGGGGCGUUCUAUAUAGUUAUGCAUAAUGAUAUUUAUAUUAUUUAUGCCUCUAACUAGAGCGUACCUUGAGCAUAUAUGCUGUGACCC